CAGGGCCAGAACCAGAAGGCAACAGAAUAUCACAGCCCACUACCAUCGACCCCAGGACCCCCAUGCCGGAAAAUCCACUUUGGCCUUGAUAUCAGCAGCUCUGGGCCCCUCUUCAGGGUUUGGAGGUAAGGGGACUGAACCCAAACAAGCACCCUCAUCACCAACCAACCCACUACAAACCUGGGAAACACCACAAAGGUACAGGACCAGCAUCAGCCUCAGGAAGGAAGAGGACAACAAAGAGAACAACCAACCAACUGAGCAGGAAAACAGUCUUUUGAGUGGCCGCUGGGUGGCGCUCAUGUCUGCUGAGGAUGGUACUGAUCAAGCAUCAAACCCAGCAAUUCUCAAACUUGCUCUGGCGACAUGAUCACCUGGGGACUUUUCAAAACAGACUGCAGCCUCCCCAGAGGGGCUCAUCAGAAAGCCUGACGUCAACAAAUUGAAUUUCCAGCAACAACCCAAGAGCCACCGAGGCAGAUGGUCCUAAAACCACUGCUUGGGGCCAUAUCAUAAAGGAAGACUUACUACCUUCUUUCAGAUGUCACACCCCCAGGGUUCAAAAGCCCAGCAGGCUGUCUGGCUUGAGUUCCACCUGCUGCAGCCUCGACUGUUCGCACUUGAUCCGCUGGAAGAGGGUGGGAUGAAGCGGCCACUGGUGUCUGUUCACAGCCAACCAGGAAAGCCCCUCUCAGCUCUGCAUUCUUGCAGCCCUACCCUGAUGGAUCUGUGACCUUGGCCAUGUUGCAGCAGUGGCCCAGGUACCUGGAUCCUCUUCCUGGAGGGGACUAGUUACAUUUACCAGCCUGUUCUCCCACCACCUUCUAUGUGCCUUGGGACAGCUCUGCUAUAUGCUCGUCAACCCCAGCCAGAGCACAGUACCCAGCUCCGUAGUAUUCUAGGCCUCCCAUGAUCCCUGUCUCCUUCCCACCUAGACAAACCAGCCCACACCCUGACCACCCCCCCGAGAAACUGCAACGAAGAAAACAAAGCACCCCAGAGCCUGGACGAAACUCGGGCCACGGGAACAAGGCCGCCCAUGAAGAUGCAGUACCAGAACAAUCCAGAAACACAGAAAUGACAGCAACGAACGGCCCCUAGGGAACCCAUAAGUAUACCUCUCUCCUUAGCUGAUUUCAUUGGAAGCCCAGCUUCAUGUACUACAGGGCUUGACAAUAAAGGAAUUGUAUUAAAG
rnacentral:lncRNA from 1 species